GAAUAAUAAUUGCUGGGUGCCUGUGUCCAAUCAGCCCUGCACCAUGAGAAGUCUGAAAGUGGACUCGUACAGUAGGAGUAAGAGAAAGGUCUUUAGUGAAUCUGUUGCAGGUAAAGCCAAUAUACAUCUCUGCUGCUUAACCUCUGCCCCGUCUGCCUUGCACAGGUAAGCACAUUAGAGGAAGUUCUUUCUCACAUUUCCUAGAGUGGCCUGAUCAAAUGGUGAUAUCCAGACGAGGUACUGCUUGCUGGCUUUUAUGUGACCUUCAUUAGCCCAUCUUUAUUCAUCUAGGUGAAGAUAUAAUCUGAUUGCUUCUGUUGUACAAAGAAAACUGAUUAGAAGUCAGGUUCAAGUCCCCAGACCAGCAAUUUUCUGAUCUUGGACAUAUUAGUUAAUUUCCCUAAGUUUCCAUUUCUUCACCCAUAAAGUGAUAUUAAUAACUGAUGUUGAGGAUUGCUGGAGAAUUAAAUAAGAAAGGAAUUUUAAAAGGCAAUUUGUAAACUGAUUAGGGCUGUACAGAUGUUAGCCUCAAUCAUUACCACAUUGAGAAUCACUUAGGGCUGAUUCUGAGAUGUGCUUAGCCUACUUGAGUAAUGCCAUAAUAAUUUUACUUGGGUAACAUUCUUGCGUUUCUUCAUUCAGGUUCUACUUUGCUUGAUGGAAAAAAAAAGUGGUGUUGCUCAGGUUAGACUUGGAUUCACCAGCACAAAUAGAGAUGCACCUUGACAUUGUCAAGAUAGGAUUUCAGAAGGUUCUGAUAUUAUCACUUCUCUCAAUCUUGAGCAAGUCUUUUGAGUCUAUGUAGCGAAUACCAAGAAAAAUAAGGCGUAUGCUACAUUGGCAAUAAUUCCUUCCAGGUUUGCUUCUUCUUUCCUCCUCUCCACUUUCUCUUCCUUCAUUUGCUUAUAAUUUCUUGAACAAGAGAAUUGUUGCUAAAAUUGCUUGGGUACCAGUGAUAAAUUGGAAUAUGGAAUUCUUAAAAAAUGAAACAACCCACAAGAUACUUGGUAUCAUACUGUGGUUACUGAGCCGGACUUCUUAGACCUGAUCUGCAGUAGAUGAAAAGAAAAGCUGAAGGUCAUCUCUUUUGUUUUCUUCCCUUCAUCUUUUCAGGGAACUUGGAUUUAACUGGUCAGAAGCAAGUCUUCAAAGCAGAGAACAACCCCUGGGUGACCCCAAUUGCUGACCAGUUCCAGCUUGGUGUUUCCCAUGUUUUCGAGUACAUACGUUCUGAAACAUACAAGUACCUCUACGGUAGACACAUGCAGGCGAAUCCAGAACCCCCAAAGAAGAACAACGACAAAUCGAAAAAGAUCAGCCGAAAGCCCCUGGCAGCCAAGAACAAAUGAGGGGCUGGCAUGGACUGGGCUUCCAGCCUCUUCUCUGACUAACCCUUCUGACCUGUCUUGCUCUGUCUCACAAAUAAAUACAAUGCGUGUGUGGCUUUUUAAAUUUUUUUUUCUUUUCACUCUUGUCUUUCUAAUGCUUACCACCUUACCUUUGAAGUUCUUUUGGUAAGUGGUAGAUUUUUAUCAGGUCUUAAAACCAUUUUCAUUUGUUUCCUGAAAAUUGCCAAAUGCAGGAAACAAAGUUGUAAUUCAACUGCAAAUUCCAUAGUAGGCACAGGUUUCAGUCCCCUGAAUAGACAUCACAAGGCUGGCUUAUUAUCAAAAGAAUAAUUAAAA